rnacentral:rRNA from 1 species
GUUAUAAUUCUAGCCUAUAAAUAAACAAACACCUACCAAAACCCCUAAAUAAACCAUUUAAUUAAAUAGUAUAGGCGAUAGAAAUUUAUCAUUGAGCAAUAGAAAAAGUACUGCAAAGGAAAGAUGAAAUAAAAAUGAAAUAAAUAACAAAAACAAAUAAAAGAAAAGACUAAAACUUGUACCUUUUGCAUAAUGGUCUAGCAAGUUAAACCUAACAAAAAGAAAUAAAGUUACCCCUCCCCGAAACUAGACGAGCUACUCAAAAGCAGCAUACUAGAGCCAACCCGUCUCUGUGGCAAAAGAGUGGGAUGACUUCUGAGUAGAGGUGAUAAGCCUAACGAGCCUAGUGAUAGCUGGUUGCUUGAGAAAUCGAAUUUUAGUUCAGCUUAAAGUGCCUUUAAAUAUGUAAAAAAAUUAAAAUAGCNACCUUAAAGUUACUUAAUAGAGGACAGCUCUAUUAAUAAAGGACACAACCUA